GCCGAGGAGACCGAGCGGCCCAGAGAGUACGGGGAGGAGGGCGGGGCCAGGCUCGGCUCCGACGACCAUUGGAGCGCCUCGUGCUGGGCGGGCCAGAAACUACAUUUCCCAGGGAUCAUAGCGGGCAAAGCCCGGAAAGGGAGGGCCUCAGGCCCAGUGCGCACGCUCUUCAGUAGCCUGUGCCUAUAUAAGGGAGGU
rnacentral:lncRNA from 1 species